rnacentral:misc_RNA from 1 species
GGUACCUCGCCCGCAUCGUGACAAAACGCCUAACCUCACCGCAUCUCAGCUCAAAGAUGCGGGCGGCUCGCCGGCUUAUUUAGAGGAAUUUCUAGGGUUUUCUCGCUUGGGAUAGCGAUGGCGACUGCUGCUGCUUGCUCGAUGGCUUGCGUUCCGGCGGGAUCUCUCGGGUGGUCGGCCGGGGUGCGGCGGUCGACGGGACUGCUGCCGCGGCGGACGGUGGUGGUGCGGUCGGCGUUGGAUACGAAGAUCUCCGAUAUGGGCGUCAACGCUCCAAAGGGGUUGUUUCCACCCGAACCUGAGCAUUAUCGGGGACCAAAGCUUAAAGUGGCUAUUAUUGGAGCUGGGCUGGCCGGCAUGUCAACUGCAGUCGAGCUUUUGGACCAAGGACAUGAGGUGGACAUAUAUGAAUCUAGAUCGUUUAUUGGAGGAAAAGUAGGUUCUUUUGUGGACAAGCGCGGCAAUCAUGUGGAAAUGGGUCUGCAUGUCUUCUUUGGUUGCUAUAGCAAUCUUUUCCGUCUGAUGAAAAAGGUAGGUGCUGAUGAAAAUUUACUGGUGAAAGAUCAUACCCACACCUUCGUAAAUAAAGGAGGUGAAAUUGGAGAACUUGAUUUUCGAUUUCCGUUGGGGGCACCGCUACAUGGCAUACGUGCAUUUCUGUCAACUAAUCAACUUAAGCCUUAUGAUAAAGCAAGAAAUGCUGUGGCU